AACCAGCACCUCAAGUGGUCAGGAUGAUUAUUGGGCCUAAAGCAUCCGUAGCCGGCUCUGUAAGUUUUCGGUUAAAUCUGUACGCUCAACGUACAGGCUGCCGGGAAUACUGCAGAGCUAGGGAGUGGGAGAGGUGGACGGUACUCGGUAGGAAGGGGUAAAAUCCUUUGAUCUAUCGAUGACCACCUGUGGCGAAGGCAGCAUUCUGGCACAAUAUUGACGCUGAGGGACGAAAGCGUGGGGAGCGAACAGG
rnacentral:rRNA from 1 species